UCAAUUCACAACCAAAACCAACAUCUUAUUCCAUUAUCACCAUUAGAAAUUGUGAAGUUUUCUUACCUCAUUCCUCUAUUUUGGUCUUGAACCACCACCAUCGCAGCCGCCACUUUUCUCGGCCUUCAUUUACCACCACGACCACCUGCUGCCUCCAUCAUUCCCAGCCACCCGCACCCGCACCAAACCAGUCAACACCUCUUCCACCACCUCGCCUCACUGCUGGCUGCUUUAAUCGACCACCACCGCCACAAUCCCCACCCCUUUCCUUCGACCAAAUCGGCCCGCAGUGCCGCACUCCCCUGCCUCUAUCAUCCUUUGCCUCUGCCGCACCACCCAGCCACAAAGACACCACACUCCGGCCACCUAACCUCGUCUUAGAACCAUCUCCGCCCCAAACAACCCAGCGAACGGCCGCUGCGCCGACCAGACUUGACCGGAAACACCCCUCCCCUGUUUUCCCCUGUUUUACUCAACCACCCUCUUCCUCCUUCCUUUUUGUUCCGCCGCACCGCAAUCACCAUCACCAUCACCGGCGCGCUUUAGCGCCGCCGUGCCGCCCAGCCAGCCGCCGCCUGUCUCCCUUCUUCUCCCCUCCUCCUUCGUGCCCCCUCCCCUGCUGCUCGUGUUCUACAAUUUCAGAAACAAAGUUUCUGAAAUUGAAACUUUGUUUUAUUCCUCCUUAUUCAAGUUGGGCCAAAUCAAUUGGGCUUUGGAAUCGGACUUGAAGCUCAGGACGAACGAUCCAUCGAAUAGGAAGUAUAAACUACGGUUGAGGUACGAAGAAGAUCGUGGGAUGCCUUAGAGUGAGGAUGCAACCAUCAAAUUCACGAUCGAUGUUUAAUAAAGAUAACUAUGUCUCACUAGUAAUAAUGGAUGUAUUAUUUAAACUCUAAGUAUUAAGUUAGAUUUUAAUAUUUAUCUUUAAUCAAUGUUAGGAAUAUUUAUUAAAGUUCGUUUAGAUUUCGGUGUAAAUAUUAAAGAAUUAAUCGAAGUGAAGUAUAAUUACAGUUACUCAACAGUAGUCAGUAAAUUUAAAAAGGGUAUGUCGCCUUGUAUUUCCCACGAGGGAGAUACGGCAGUGACGCUCCGACUAAAUUAGGGUUUCCGCUGCUAAUUAAAGGUAAUUAACCUAAUUAAUGGUGUUUAAAAGUCGGGGCGUUACAUUUUAACACACAAAUAAGUUUAUUUCAGUCUAAAUAAGCUUAUAAACUUAGUGCAUAUGAGUUCAGAUAAAGUUAGUUAAGUUCAGAUAAUAUAAGUUCAGACAAAAUAAGUCGAAUAGAACGGAGCCUAAAAACAAAUUGAUAAUCUUUUAUAUAAGGUGUCGCUUCGGUGGCAGUUAGUCAUUCAACUUCAAAGAAACAACAGAUAAAAAAAAUAAAAAUAAAAAGUGGUAUUCUCUUUGUGCAGAAUAAAGUAUUGUGUAAAGUGCAGGUUCUGCUUGACUUUUAAGUUUUAUGUGUAAUUUCGUUCAGAGUUUCGAUCUCUAACCAUGGCAAAUGAUGUAGUCAAGGAGUGAGAGAAGUUUUGUCUGACCGAGGAGGAAGAGAUUGUAGUAGGAGGUGAUUUUGAGGAUGAUAACGAUGUGUAUUCAAGAACCCAGGUUUCUUUAUCACUUGUGGGAAAGCUUAGUACUCAUAAGUCGUACAACGUCUAAGCGAUGAAGAGAACGCUACUGUAAUAGCUCACGCGUCAUGAGCUGCUUGUCGGACCGAGCUUCGCGCCUAAGCCUAAUUUCACUCAAUUUAACAUACUUUGUCGUGCUUUUUCAAAAAAAAAAGGAGGCUAGGGCACAUCCCAAGAGUUCAUUAAUGCUCGUACAUGGCGUGUUGUUUUCAUGUUGUGUUGUAUCUUGCCUUAAACCGGCCCGCCCCCAAUCCGACUCGACCAAUGCCAUAUUUAAUUGAAAGCUCUUCAAUAUUAUCAUACUUAUCUUUCACCCCUUCUUUUUUCAUAAGAAAAGUAAACCCAAUAUCGCAACGUAAAGUAUUUUUAAAAUUAUUUCGGAUCGGACUCCCUAAAACCAUCCUUUAAAAUAAAACAAAAAAAUAAACACUCGGACCCUUUUCCUUUGUGAAAACCGAAAGGGAGUUUCCUCCUAUUAAAACGCAAUCCAUUGGCCGUGAAAUCCUCAAUUCACCAAUUUUAAUAUUUCCCAA